UACGGAGGGUGCAAGCGUUAUCCGGAUUCACUGGGUUUAAAGGGUGCGUAGGCGGGCAUGUAAGUCAGUGGUGAAAUCUUCGAGCUUAACUCGGAAACUGCCGUUGAUACUAUGUGUCUUGAAUAUCGUUGAGGUUUGCGGAAUAUGUCAUGUAGCGGUGAAAUGCUUAGAUAUGACAUAGAACACCAAUUGCGAAGGCAGCAGGCUAAACGAACAUUGACGCUGAGGCACGAAAGCGUGGGGAUCAAACAGG
rnacentral:rRNA from 1 species